rnacentral:rRNA from 1 species
UGUAAGCGUAUACCAAAGUUGUUGCAGUUAAAACGCUAGUAGUCGGAAUUUGGCAGUUCCGGAAGUGUGCACGUCGUGUGCGCACUUUGCGGGGACUGCUUUUGUGGUCUUGCGUAGGAUGAGGCACUUUCAUUAGUGAACGUCCUCACGCAACCACUCUUUACUGUGAGAAAAUCAGAGUGCUCAAAGCAGGCAUUUGCCGUGAAUGUAUUAGCAUGGAAUAAUAGAAUAGGACUCGGUUCUAUUUUGUUGGUUUGUUGGGACUGAGUAAUGAUUAAGAGGGACAGUUGGGGGCAUUUGUAUUCCGGCGCUAGAGGUGAAAUUCUUAGAUUGCCGGAAGACAAACUGCUGCGAAAGCGUCUGCCAAGGAUGUUUUCAUUGA